rnacentral:rRNA from 1 species
ACUUAUAAUAUACUAAUAAAAGUAAUUUUAUUGGAACAUUAUUUUAGUAUUGUGUAAAGAAUUGAAUGGUUGGAUUUAUAGAGAAUAAGUACUGAAAAGGAAAUUUGAAAUACAAAUGAAAUUUAAUUUAUUAAAAAGUAGAAUUUAUUUUGUACCUUGUGUAUCAGGGUUCAUUAAAUGAGAAUUAGUGAUUUUAAUUUUCCCGAAGUAAAAAGAGCUAAAACUAUAAUUUUGGUUAGUGUUUCAAAAUUAUCCUAAAUAUGGUUUUCGAGGCGAAAUGUUAAACGUUUUUUAUGAUAUCUGGUUUUCUAAGAAAAAAUUGAAUUUAUUUAAUAUCGGUAUAUUUCUUCUUUAAUAAUGAAUAAUUUAUGGAGGUAUAUAAUAUAUUUUUGGGGAUAAGCUGAAAAAUAAAGAUUAUAAAAAUUUAUAGAAAUUAGAGGUGUAGGCUUUAAAUUAGCUUUCUAUUUAAUGUUGUUAUAAAUUAAUUAGACAUAGAUAUAGGAUUUAAUAAUUUUUUAAUUUUUAAAUUAGAAUGAAAUAGAUAAUAGAUUAAAAUAUUUAUAAUUAUGAUGGAAUGAGNNUAUAUAUAUAUAUUGUAGAGUGAUUAAAUAUAUAAUAAUUGAAUUUAAGGAAUUAGGCAAAAAUUUAUUCGCAUGUUUAUCAAAAACAUCUCUUUUUGAUUUUAUAAAAAGUAGGGCCUGCCCACUGAUAAUUUUUAAGGGCCGCGGUAAUUUGACCGUGCAAAGGUAGCAAAAUCACUAGUCUUUUAAUUGGAGGCUGGAAUGAAUGGUUUGACGAAAUAAAUACUGUCUCAAAUACAAUAUUAGAAGUUAACUUUCUAGUCAAAAGGCUGGAAUAUUCAUGGAGGACGAGAAGACCCUAUAGAGUUUUAUUUUAUUGUAAUUUAACUUAAGUUGGUUGAAUUUUUAAGUUGAAUUAUCAUGAAAUUUUGUUGGGGUGACAUGAAGAUUAAAUAAACUCUUUAUUAUUUAUGACAUUGAUGGAUGGAUAAUUGAUCCAAUUUUAUUGAUUAUGAGAUUAAAUUACCUUAGGGAUAACAGCGUAAUUUUUUUUGAGAGUUCUUAUCGACAAUGAAGAUUGCGACCUCGAUGUUGGAUUAAGAUUAUUUAUAGGUGUAGAGGCUUAUAAAAUAAGUCUGUUCGACUUUUAAAUUCUUACAUGAUCUGAGUUCAGACCGGCGUGAGCCAGGUCGGUUUCUAUCCUUAUCAAAAAUGAAGAUUUUAGUACGAGAGGACCAAAUCUUUGAAAUAGUUUUUAGAUUAGAAGAGUAAU